UUAUAUUUUUUCUUCAAAUUCGUUCUUCUUGUUCUUUCUCCCAACUUCUCAAUCGAAGAAAUCGAUUCGAAACCCUAAAUUUCUAAAUUCCUCCACUGGUGAUGUCGCUCUCCUACUCCUUCUUCCUCGAUGACGACCUCCUAUACAACGAGGAAAUCUUCAGCGUCUUAUCCGGAGAUUUGCUGGCGGAAAGCUUCUCUGAUGUCGAUUCGUCUCCGCUGACGGAGGAAGAGUUAUGCACUUUCUAUUAACUUUACGUUAUUCUAUAAUUUAUACUCUUCUUAAAGCUUACAUUUUAAAAAUUGUUCUUAGGUAAACUGGGUGUUCUUGAACAUGAAAAGGUUGAGUUGAAUAAUAUGCAUAGACAUGUACUGUUUUUUUUCCUAAACUUAUGGCAUGGCCUUUACAACAUGUAGUUUGUGUAUUCUUCAUGUGUGUUUUAUGAUUGUGUUUGAUUUUUUUGAGUACUAGUUAAAUCUUAACAUGUAACUUUGUUUGCUUUUAUGUGUGUUUAUUUUCUGUUUGUAAUUCUGAUAUAAUUCCGUUCAACUCAUCUAAGUUGUUUUUAGAUUAUACACACGGAAGCCUAUAUUGCUCAGCUGAAAGUGAAAUCCGCAGCUGCUGCUUGUCGCUCAUUGUAGCUUCAAAUGUUCUGUACGGUACGGGUGCCAUUGCAAGCGUUCGAGCGGCCGAAAUCUACGGGCUUAAUGUACUUGCAGAAAGUAUCCAGGACGAUUCAGAAAUCAUCAGUCGUUAUCUUGUGCUUGUAAGGGAUCCAAUAAUUCCAACAGCCAAUAAGCCUUUUAAGAUAAGCAUUGUGUUUACACUAGAUCAAGGUCUUCGGGUUCUAUUUAAAGUUUUGGCCAUAUUUGCAUCAAGGGACAUAAAUUUAUCCAAGGUAUAUCUCAGUUUGUUAGUCUAACUCAAUAGGUGAUGAUUAAAAUGCGAUUAACAAUAUGUGCUACGGAAUCAUAUUGAAAGUCGUCCUCAAAGAAAUCGUCCACUAAGAGUCGUCGAUGAUUCCAACACUGGCACUGCCAAGUGAGUUUUGUCUUUAACAUUAUAUUGUGUUUCUCAGAUGCAGAUGCAAGCAUUGAAAUAGUAUUUUUUUUUAUUCAACAUUGAGUUAGGUACUUUGAUUACCUUUUCUAUAUUGACUUUGAAGCGUCCAGGACUGAGCCUCGGCGCAAACCGAAUUAGAACAUCUGCAGGUGUGUGUUUUGACAUUUUUUUUAUGGAAAUGCUUCAUGAACUCAAAUCUUUUUCAUAAGCUUUUAUAUUUUCCAAAGUUGUAUACUUGUAAUGACUAUAUGCUAAAACCAUUGUAUGUCUCUGUAAGAAUUUGCCACAUUUCUUAGAGUACUUGGGAACAAAUUUAGGUUUGUUUAUUCCAUAUGAAAAGAGAAAGACAAUUACACGAGUUCAAGACGCAAGACAGAAUAAUGAAAAGGUCCUUGCUCCAUCAUUUCCGUUUUGUAUAGAGUAAGAGUAAAAGGGUUCUGAUUCUCAGUUGAUAGUUAAAAUAGGGCAUUUUAUAAGGAUUUAGUAAAGGUUAUUGAAAAGCCUAUGAUGUCAUACUUUAGGUCCUUGGUGCUUGAGAUCCCUUGGGUACUCAUUGCGUUGGCAUAGAAAAAUGGUAAUGAAAGUAGGACAUGAGAAAUGUCUUGCGUUGAUUUUAAAUAAAAUUGGUAACUUUCAUGAUCACCCUUUUCUCCUCUUUCUCCUUCUACAAUAUUUUUUCUCGAUGAGUACUCAUUUGUGCUUUUAAUUCAGAUCUUGUUCCCCGAGAAUCUGUCGUGAAGUUGCUUAAAUACCUUCAAGAAGAAUCACCUAAUGUCACUUUCAAGUGCAACACAUAACAACAAUGAUCAAGCCUGUGAUGGAAAUCUUCUAAAAAAGUCAAGCCAAGUAUUACUUUGCUAUUGAAUGAUUAUCUUGGAGAUGAGGCACAACUAGAACUAUUGAAGAAUUAUUCAAGAAGCUACGAGGGUGUUUUUCCCGCUUGACUUUGAUUCUGCAGCUGAUGUUCUUCUAGCUGGCAAUAAUUCUUCAUAAAUAGAUGACAGACAUGUUGGGCUUAUAUAGCGUCUUUGAAGUGAAACUUAAAUUGUUUGUCCUGCUCCUGUUCGCGAAUUGAAAUAUCAAGAAAUGAUAUUUGGCAGUUUGCCAAGUAUAGUGACAGAUUGUUGUAUUCUAUUUUCACAAACAUGUAAUAUAGAAACAAUUGAUACUAAAGAUACCAAAACAUUCCAAUAGGAAACUAUGUGUAUUUAAAUGAGUUAUGCCGGUUAUGGUUUUUCCUUCCAUGUCAUGCUUGGAAGUAAAAUAAUGGAGGUCUCAACCCGUGUUCUCUAUUGCCUUGGAAAAUCGUACCUAAACAACCAAAGUCCAAGAUUGGUGUAAUUGUAAUGCUUAUGUGAGUUCCUGCUUCAAAUAAUUAUGUGAAAAUAUUAUCCAA